AUAUAAUUAAAUGGAGUCACUGUCUCAAUAUGAUGAUGCUAAUUAGUAUGUGGAUCCAGAUCCUGGUCACUCUGGAGAAACUGGUUCCAUUCUUUCAUUGUGUUGAACAAGCACUCACAAUGUCUGUCCCUUAGAUACUGUUAUGAAUGUCCAUGUUUUUGUUUGCAGUUGUUAUGAAAUGUUUUAAUUCUCUUCAAUUCCUGGUCGUCCAACACAACCAAACAGGCUAUCUCAUGAUGUUUCUAAUGGGCAGAAGCUAGUGAAGGAGGUUUAUGAAGCACUUAGAGCAAGUCAUCACAUGAGACACUUUUUGUGAUGAACAUGGUGGUUUUUAUGAUCAUGUCCAAACUCCUUAUAUAUGUUAAUGGACCAAAUCCAGAUGGGAAUAAUGGACCAAAUCAAAAAAGGAACUGUGCAUUUGGCUGCAGUCCUGAAUGGUGAACAUUUCAUGAGCAUGAAAUGUCAAAGAAAAUGAAUGUGAAGGAAGCUCAUGAGUAUGUAAGAGGUGCAGUUUCAAGAGGCUAUUAAGUUAGGAACUGAUGUGUCUGCAGGGGUGGAUUUAUAGCUCAUUUUAUGGGCACAUGAACUCAUGGUCUCUCCGUCAAACUAGAUAUUUUAUGUACAUAUUUUCUAGAAUUGAUCUAAUAUUAAUAGUCUGCUGCACACAUGCUCUAAAGAACCUAAAUGAUGCACUUGGUUAAAUGUUGAGUUAAUUACCUAGAGGAGCAAGGAUUAAUUCCCAUUGAA